rnacentral:tRNA from 45 species
CGGAAUGUAGCGCAGCCUGGUAGCGCACUUGCAUGGGGUGCAAGGGGUCGCGAGUUCGAAUCCCGCCAUUCCGACCA